UCUGCUUAACACAUGCAAGUCGAACGCAACCUUCGGGUUGAGUGGCGGACGGGUGAGUAACGCGUGAGAAUCUGCCUUGGGGUCGGGGACAACCACUGGAAACGGUGGCUAAUACCGGAUAAGCCUUUGGGUAAAAGAUUUAUUGCCCCAAGAGGAGCUCGCGUCUGAUUAGCUAGUUGGUGAGGUAAAAGCUCACCAAGGCAGCGAUCAGUAGCUGGUCUGAGAGGACGAUCAGCCACACUGGGACUGAGACACGGCCCAGACUCCUACGGGAGGCAGCAGUGGGGAAUUUUCCGCAAUGGGCGAAAGCCUGACGGAGCAAGACCGCGUGAGGGAGGAAGGCUCUUGGGUUGUAAACCUCUUUUCUCAGGGAAGAAGCUCUGACGGUACCUGAGGAAUCAGCCUCGGCUAACUCCGUGCCAGCAGCCGCGGUAAUACGGAGGAGGCAAGCGUUAUCCGGAAUUAUUGGGCGUAAAGCGUCCGCAGGUGGCGAUUCAAGUCUGCUGUCAAAGCACGGGGCUUAACUCCGUUAAGGCAGUGGAAACUGAAUAGCUAGAGUGCCGUAGGGGUAGAGGGAAUUCCCGGUGUAGCGGUGAAAUGCGUAGAGAUCGGGAAGAACAUCGGUGGCGAAAGCGCUCUACUGGACGGCAACUGACACUCAGGGACGAAAGCUAGGGGAGCGAAUGGGAUUAGAUACCCCAGUAGUCCUAGCUGUAAACGAUGGAUACUAGGUGUAGCUUGUAUCGACCCGAGCUGUGCCGAAGCUAACGCGUUAAGUAUCCCGCCUGGGGAGUACGCACGCAAGUGUGAAACUCAAAGGAAUUGACGAGGGCCCGCACA
rnacentral:rRNA from 1 species